rnacentral:rRNA from 1 species
UACGAAGGGGGCUAGCGUUGUUCGGAAUUACUGGGCGUAAAGGGUGCGUAGGUGGUUAAUUAAGUUAUCUGUGAAAUCCCUGGGCUCAACCUGGGCAGGUCAGAUAAAACUGUUUAACUCGAGUAUGGGAGAGGGUAGUGGAAUUUCCGGUGUAGCAGUGAAAUGCGUAGAGAUCGGUAGGAACACCAAUGGCGAAGGCAGCUUGCUGGGCAUUUCUGACGCUAAGGCACGAAAGCGUGGGAGCGAACGAGG